rnacentral:rRNA from 1 species
GAUGAACGCUGGCGGCGUGCCUAAUACAUGCAAGUCGAGCGAACGGACGAGAAGCUUGCUUCUCUGAUGUUAGCGGCGGACGGGUGAGUAACACGUGGAUAACCUACCUAUAAGACUGGGAUAACUUCGGGAAACCGGAGCUAAUACCGGAUAAUAUUUUGAACCGCAUGGUUCAAAAGUGAAAGACGGUCUUGCUGUCACUUAUAGAUGGAUCCGCGCUGCAUUAGCUAGUUGGUAAGGUAACGGCUUACCAAGGCAACGAUGCAUAGACGACCUGGGAGGGUGAUCGGCCACCCUGGAACGGAGACGCGGUCCAGACUCCUACGGGAGGCAGCAGUAGGGAAUCUUCCGCAAUGGGCGAAAGCAUGACGGAGCAACGCCGCGUGAGUGAUGAAGGUCUUCGGAUCGUAAAACUCUGUUAUUAGGGAAGAACAUAUGUGUAAGUAACUGUGCACAGCUUGACGGUACCUAAUCAGAAAGCCACGGCUAACUACGUG